rnacentral:rRNA from 1 species
AGAGUUUGAUCCUGGCUCAGGAUGAACGCUGGCGGCGUGCUUAAUACAUGCAAGUCGAGCGAAUGAUGAGGAGCUUGUUCCUCUGAUUUAGCGGCGGACGGGUGAGUAACACGUGGGUAAUCUCCCUGUAAGACGGGGAUAAUUCCGGGAAACCGGGGCUAAUCCCGGAUAAUAAGAGAAGAAGCAUUUCUUCUUUUUGAAAUGUCGGUUUCGGCUGACACUUACAGAUGAGCCCGCGGCGCAUUAGCUAGUUGGUGAGGUAACGGCUCACCAAGGCGACGAUGCGUAGCCGACCUGAGAGGGUGAUCGGCCACACUGGGACUGAGACACGGCCCAGACUCCUACGGGAGGCAGCAGUAGGGAAUCUUCGGCAAUGGGCGAAAGCCUGACCGAGCAACGCCGCGUGAGCGAUGAAGGCCUUCGGGUCGUAAAGCUCUGUUGUUAGAGAAGAACAAGUACGAGAGUAACUGCUCGUACCUUGACGGUACCUAACCAGAAAGCCACG